rnacentral:lncRNA from 1 species
CUUGAAAAGUGCCUACCCCUGGCCUGGGAUGCUUCCUCCUGGGAUGCUCCCACUUGGAACCCAACUAUUGUGCUGCAGAAGUUUAACUUAACUGUGUAAGGAGGCCAAGAGGAGGCCCUGGCUGCCAGCCAGCAUCAACUUCCAGUGACGUGAGUGUGCCAUUCUGGAACUGGAUCCUGCAGCCUCGGUGGAGCAGCCUCAGCUGAUGCCAUGUGGAACAGAGAUGAACUGCCGCUGCCGAGCUCUGCCCACGUUGCAGAAUCAUGAGCAAAUAUGUUGUGGAUUGGCUGUAACUCUGCUCUGGGAUCCAGGCUGAAGGAGCAGGCUCUAUCUGGAACAUUACUAGUCUCCAGGCAGAAGAAAAAGAGACAAUGGAAUGGAUGAUUGAAUGGAUGAAUGAACUCCACAGGAAGAUGAGGAAAGCCUUUAUGGAUGGAGUGAGCUUGCAGCAGAGUCUCAAAGGGCCUACCUGGAAUGCCAUGCUCCCUCACCGCCAAUGCUGCCCUACCAAAUUCAGCCCAUAGACCUUCAAAAACCAAUUCAAAUCUCCAAGAAUCCAAGUCAGAAGAAAUUGCUGCCUCCUCUGAAUAAUUAUUGCUGACACUGAUUGCACUCUGUGCUUAUUGCUCAGUCCUUUGAGUUAUCUCGUCAAUAUUUCCCAUUUGUCCUAUAUCCAUCCCCACCUAGGAAUGAAUGGGACUUCAUGAUUCUGUCUUUCUAGUAUUAGAUGUCUUGCUCAGUAAAAAAUGUUUACUGUCUUGUAAAUUAAUUUAAAUAUAUGGUAAAAUAAUAUAGGGGUCUCUGGAAAGAUGGAAAUUGUUUGUUAUUGUUUUUGAGACGGAGUCUCACUCUG